ACCGGGAAGAGCCCAGCUU
rnacentral:snRNA from 1 species